UGUCGAUACUGUUGCUUUUUGUACAGUUUCAAAAUCAACUAAUAAGUUCAAAGAGGCUGUCUUACUUUUAAAAUUUUAACACCAUACUUGGUUGCAUAUUGCGUUGACUUAGGAACUGCACUAAUGUUAAAUUUAAUGAAGAAAA